UUGGUGACUCACUAGGUUUUAUCUUGUUGUCUUCGUCCUGCGAUCUCGUCACACGGUGGUGUUCUGUAGUUGGUUUGGGUUCCCCAAAGAUUCCAAUCUUAAAAGAGUUUGGGUUUCAAUCCAUAGUAUCAUUUCAAUUUCGUUGGUUUGGGUUUGGAUAUUGAAAGGGUUUUUGUGUUAUCUAUUUCUAAUUUUGAUCGCAUAUAGUUACGAAUUGCUCGAAGCUGUUUUAGAGAUAGAGAUAUUUGAUGUGAUGGAAACAUGUGUCAUAUUCGGACCAGGAGUUUCUGGGUUACAGUUUUGUUUACGAUUUGAAGUUGGUUGUGAAAUUGGUGUAGGUUUUGGCAAUAGUGUUGGAAGAGGAGCUGCUUAUGAUCACUCUCGUUUUGUGGAAUUGGUGUAGGUUUUGGCAAUAGUGUUGGAAGAGGAGCUGCUUAUGAUCACUCUCGUUCUUAUUGUAACGUUGGGAAGCCAUCUUUGAGUGAAGUUGAUUCUCUUAUUGAUGAACUUGUUGUUAGUACCAAGAAGCUUGUGAAAGCUACUACAAAGAAAUUGACAAGUGGAUAAAAUGAUGAACAUUAGGAAAACUUUAGCUUGUUGCAUUGCAGCUGUUAGUGUUGUUUCUAUGUUCUUUAGAUCAAGAAUGUAGGGGGCUAGCUAGGUAUAACGUUCAUAUCUGACACCCCUCAAGAAUCAGUGCCAUAGUAGGUUUUAGCCUCUCCAGAUUGUGAUGCUCGGUUGCUUAUAGUCCUUGUCCUAGGUCGUAGAUAACUUAGCUUUAGUUUUAUGCUGCUUUAAAUUUCCAGAGUCAUACAUUAUCUAGUGAAAGUUAAAACAUAUUCACCUUCUUGGAUGCAUUGGGUGUUAAUAAAUAGGCAGUUUGCUUUAUAGUCUACUUCAAUAGCCUAUCAAAUUAAAACAAUUAAUUUAGAUCAGCAUUUUUUUGCUACGUGGACCAAGGAAUUAAGUGAAGAACAAAGAAGCACGGGUAAAGAGCAGCCAUGGACGAGAGAUGAUAGGAUUUUUUCACUCACAAAUCCUCUACAACAAUAAGAGAGAUUGCAAUCUUAUUCAAUAGUUUUCUUAAUCUCUUUGUUCUAGAUUCAAUUUUGUAAGCUUUGUUGAUUGAUCGAUUUUGGCAGUCAUUAGAUAAAACAUCAAUAUCUUUGACCGCGGGAUGUGAUUUUUUCAUCAGAUUUGUUACGCGAAGGUCUGUUUUAGUAUACAAAGAUUUCAAUCCUGUGAAGUCUCAUGUCCUUGAAAGCUCUUGACAGGUUCAUGAGAAAACAUUUUGGUCUUCUUAAAUAUCUUUUGUAUGUGUCUGUUAGGUACUUUCAAACUCUCACAGCAGUUUCCAGAAAAUUAUCCAAAUAAACCACCAACAGUUCGGUUUGUUUCACGGACGUUUGAUAAGAGGGCACAUGUGAGAGGCACAUGUGAAAAGUAAAGAGAAUCAUGUGAAGGAUAGACUAUAAAUAGAGGUUGAGAGGAAAAUUAUAGGAUCAUCCUGCGUGAUCAUUGAUGUGUUAAGAGGAAUUAGAGCUUAUGUGCUCUGUUCUUAGGUGAUGAGACUGGAGAACUGUAACUCCAACAUUAUCAAUUAGGGUGAGAAGAGAUAAGAGAGAAGAGUUUGUAUGUUCAAUCUUAUCAAAUGGUGCGGUGAAACUGUGAUCGGAGGGUCAACGCGAGUGAAGGGUUAAAGUUCAACGAAUUGGGGAUUCUGACAAUUUGGGGAUUUUGAUUGCAAUGUGUCUCGAGGGAUUUCCUAUCUUCGAUGGUGUUUCCGUUAAACUACGACCAUGGAUUUCAUGGCUGGAGGAUUUCUUUGUUCAAGAGAAUUUCACGGCGGAUGAGAAACUGAAUCUUGCACAGAGUCUUCUCAAAGGUGAAGCUCUCUUGUGGUUUCAACAGCGAACACGAGUAUGUGGAUUUUUUUACAGUUGGGGAAUGAUGGAGUUAGCCUUGUUGUUGUGAUUUGGUGACAAAGAUGAAAGAAGCAGACUCAUUCAGGAGUAUAGAGAAGAAAAACCAAUUGAAGUCUCGGAGAAGAAGAAAGAAACGCAUAGCGACGGGGAUUUGUGUUUUGAAAGGCAAUCCUUGGACGUGGAACACACUGCAAUUGCAAACACGAUUCUUUCAUCACCGCAGGUAAACAUUUCUGAUUCAGUGCUCAACAUAAUAAUGGAACAUCCGAAAGAUAAUUCACUUUUGAGCAAGAACGAAUCAACGUUGAUGAUGGGCUAUGGAGAUGGUUUGGUCAAGCCAGUCGAAAUACCUAUUUUCAAUGGAGUUUAUUCGUGUAUUUGGAUUUCGAAGGUUGAAAGAUUCUUUCGUUUUUCUCAAAAUAAUGAUGUGGAGAAGAUAAGUUUGGUGUCGUCGCACUUGGAAGGAGAUGCUUUGAGUUGGUUCACAAAUGUAUCCUUCACAAAUUAGAAGGAUUUCAAGUCACGAUUGCAUGUUCGGUUUAGGAACGCCAAGCCUUUAAGCCCGUCAAUACAAACUUCUGAUUAUGAAGUGAUUUUAGUAAAAGAUUCAAUGCAAGAAUCAGAUUCAGCUGAGGAGGAGCAUGAGUUGAUUGAGACAGGUCUUGGUCAGCAAAAAGCUUUGAUUUUUAAAGAUGAAUCAAGGAACAUUCUUGAGGAUUUACCAUUGGAUGUUUUAGAGUACAAUCGACUCUCGUCACCUACUAAAGGCAGUGUUGCUUGGAUGGUUCAGAAAGAGAAACAGUUACAUGGUUUGGAUAUCUCGGAAGUGGUUGAUUGUCAUGAGAAGCCAGCAAGUAUAACGACCAGCAGUUAUUUUGAAGAUCAUUUGUUCGAUAUAAUGCUUUUAAGAAGGUACAAUUUACUAUGAAAGAGACAUGAACUGAAGUCUUCCAAAACCUGGAAAUUCAAAUUCAAGGAUAGGAAUUUGGUUGGAUCAAUGAAGCUGCUACAGGAUUCACAGAUCAUGGGACAACUUAGUUAUGAUGGCUGUAACUUGGACAAAGAGAAGUUGAUGUUCUGUAGCAAUUUAGUAAUCAUGGCUUAUCAAAGAGGAUUGACAGGUGUGAAGCUUAGGACUGUCUCUGGAGAGUGUACUGCUAAAAAUGUUUUUGAGAGAUUUCACAAACUUACGCAUAUAAAACAUAAGGGUGUAUUUCAGCUUAAUGACCAUGCAUCAGUUGAAGACAUUGUCACAAGCUCGGAGGAACUAGUAACCAUCGUUUUGUACAAGAGAGGUUAUUUUUCAGUGUGGCAUUGUUGGAGAAAGAAAAAAUUGGAGCAGUUUAGCUUGCAACUACGGAUGACCUGCAACUUUACGGUGAUGCUAUGGUGCGUAAGAUCAAUGUGUGUGCAGCAGCAGCUCUACUAUGGCAGGAAACAGAACAAAGAGCAUGGAUAUGUGAUUGUAUACAAGUUCCGAAUCAAACGAUAUGAUGAUGUGUGGUGGUCUCAGAUUGGGAAAGUCAUUCAACCUGCAACUUCUGCAUAUUUGUCGUUGGCACUGCCAAUCAUCCCAACAACUCCGCCACAGCUUAUCUUCAUGAAGAUGGAGCAUGAUUUUAACAUUCAAAGUGGAUCCGUUUCUCAGGAGCAGCUCUACCAGUGCAUCAACGAUUCUAUUCUCUACUGCAGUCACUGUUUUUCCAUCCUCAGUACAAUUGUUACAUCACAGCUUGAGGACAAGCUGUUUUGAAAGGGGGGAGUAUUGAUAAAAGGGCACAUGUGAGAGGCACAUGUGAAGAGUAAAGAGAAGCAUGUGAAGGAUAGACUAUAAAUUCAGGUUGAGAGGAAAAAUAUAGGAUCAUCUUGCGUGAUCAUUGAUGUGUAAAGAGGAAUUAGAGCUUAUGUGCUCUGUUCUUAGGUGAUGAGAUUGGAGAACUGUAACUCCAACAUUAUCAAUUAGGGUGAGAAGAGAUAAGAGAGAAGAGUUUGUAUGUUCAAUCUUAUCAACGUUUCAUCCAAACAUUUAUGCUUGGACAUUCUCCAAAACAAUGGAGUCCAAUAUACGAUGUCUCUGCUAUACUAACCUCCAUUCAGGUAUAUAUAUACAGAAAUGUCAUAUUGAAAUGCUAUUCAUAUCUUGUUUCUCAAUAAAACCG